UACCAAUAAACACUGACUGACUAAAUGGAUGAACUCUCUGAGCCUUGGUUUGCCCAUCUGUAAAAUGGGAGUAAUGAGUGGUACCUCCUUGCUUGGGUUGUCGUAGAGUUGAAAUGAGCCUCUCACAGGGCACAGCACAUGGGUCAGGUCUGAGGAAACAAGCCGAAACAUGAAAAGGAAGUGUUAUGCAUAAAGAGGCCCUUUGCCGCAUUAUUUGUCAAAGUGGGAACAUGGGAACAACCAAGCUGUCCAACAGCAGGGAAGUAGGUUGAUGUGCUCCUGUCCCACCAACUUGAGAACUGACUUUAUUCUUGUGA